CAACAUCCUGGUGGCCGGUGAAAAAAUUUAUAUUUAUUUACUAUUUAAUCGCUGUUUUCGCAUUAGAAAUGUGUUUCACGCAGACCGCGGAUUUUUAUGCAAGUUCAACUUUGUCGGACGCAGGAUCGAAGAAUGGAAUUUACAUGUACGAGAAUGACGAAGGAAUUUUAUCAUUUAGGUGAGGCUAACACUAGGUCUAAUCAGGUUACAUCGAAUCAGACGUGUGAAAGAGUUCGACCGGUUCGACAGCGAGGAGCGUGAAUUCAAGAACGAUGGUAAUCUCAAACUUUUCUUAGCCAUGGGGUCGCUACACAAAUAAAUUAUUGUCGUUCCAAUCGUUA